rnacentral:rRNA from 1 species
AGAGUUUGAUCCUGGCUCAGAACAAACGCUGGCGGCGUGUCUUAAGCAUGCAAGUCGAGCGGCAAGGGCAGCAAUGCCCCUAGAGCGGCGGACUGGUGAGUAACGCGUGGGUGAUCUACCUUGGGCAUGGGGAUAGCCAUUAGAAAUAGUGGGUAAUACCGAAUACGUUCGUUACCGUGAGGGUAACGAGGAAAGGCGCUACGGCGCCGGCCUGAAGAUGAGCUUGCGUCCGAUUAGCUAGUUGGUGAGGUAAAGGCCCACCAAGGCGAUGAUCGGUAGCCGGCCUGAGAGGAUUAUCCCCCACACUGGUACUGAGACACGGACCAGACUCCUACGGGAGGCAGCAGUAAGGAAUAUUGGGCAAUGGACGCAAGUCUGACCCAGCCAUGCCGCGUGAAGGAUGAAGGCCCUAUGGGUUGUAAACUUCUUUUAUACGGGAAAAAACCUUCGGUCGUGAACCGGAGCUGAUGGUACCGUAAGAAUAAGCAUCGGCUAACUCCGUGCCAGCAGCCGCGGUAAUACGGAGGAUGCAAGCGUUAUCCGGAUUCAUUGGGUUUAAAGGGUGCGCAGGCGGAGUGAUAAGUCAGUGGUGAAAUCCUACGGCUCAACUGUAGAACUGCCAUUGAUACUGUCAUUCUUGAGUACUGUUGAGGUGGGCGGAAUGUGUCAUGUAGCGGUGAAAUGCUUAGAUAUGACACAGAACACCGAUCGCGAAGGCAGCUCACCAAGCAGAAACUGACGCUCAUGCACGAAAGCGUGGGGAUCAAACAGGAUUAGAUACCCUGGUAGUCC